rnacentral:rRNA from 1 species
AGGGGUAACAAGGGAGAGCUUGCUCUCCUGUUGACGACCGGCGCACGGGUGCGUAACGCGUAUACAAUCUGCCCCCUACCGCGGGAUAGCCCAGAGAAAUUUGGAUUAAUACCGCAUGGUACCGUAUCCCGGCCUCGGGUUUACGGUUAAAGGUAACGGUAGGGGAUGAGUAUGCGUCCCAUUANCNNNNNGGUGAGGUAACGGCUCACCGAGGCUACGAUGGGUAGGGGCCCUGAGAGGGGGAUCCCCCACACUGGUACUGAGACACGGACCAGACUCCUACGGGAGGCAGCAGUGAGGAAUAUUGGACAAUGGGGGCAACCCUGAUCCAGCCAUGCCGCGUGCAGGAAGACUGCCCUAUGGGUUGUAAACUGCUUUUAUACGGGAAGAAACACUCCCUCGUGAGGGGGCUUGACGGUACCGUAAGAAUAAGGACCGGCUAACUCCGUGCCAGCAGCCGCGGUAAUACGGAGGGUCCGAGCGUUAUCCGGAAUCAUUGGGUUUAAAGGGUCCGUAGGCUGGCGGCUAAGUCAGUGGUGAAAGUCUGUGGCUCAACCAUAGAAUUGCCAUUGAUACUGGUCGUCUUGAAUUGGUGUGAAGCGGUUGGAAUGAGCAGUGUAGCGGUGAAAUGCAUAGAUAUUGCUCAGAACAUCGAUUGCGAAGGCAGAUCGCUAACACCAUAUUGACGCUNANGGACGAAAGCGUGGGGAGCGAACGGGAUUAGAUACCCCGGUAGUCCACGCCGUANCGAUGGAUAC